AGCAGGAAUGCGCUGGCUGCCCGGGAGCCUUCAGGGUGGGCUCUGGGGGCCAGGUGCGGCCUCAGCGCCGUCCCUUCCCGGGAAGCCUCCUCCCUGGGGUCCACGCCGGCUCCUGCUGGCUCCCCCAUUCCGCUGAAAUCUGAGGAAAAGGCUCUGGGAACGCAGCCAGACUCCCCCACAGCUCAGACGGCUGUAAAGAAAUAUUCCUGCCAGAUGUUCAGAGGCGGAGGCCAGCAUGAGUUCCCAGAACCAGAGCUUCUAUGGCGGAUUCUCACCAGAAAAUGAAAUUCUCAGCUUACAGGCAACGGAACAAAAUGAAAUCAGGCCAAUGCACGCGGCCCCGGGAAGCACCAGGGGGCCUCAGCGAGCUCCUGAGUUUCACACUCAGUGCGGGGGUUUCCGCCUCAGCCCCUCUUAGCGGGAGUCACUAAAGGAAACGCAGAGAGGGCGGGAACGCAACCCCAGCACCCUGCGGCUCCCGCCACGGGGUCGCGCCCUCCCUCUGAUAUCCAGAGCCUGCGGCUCCCAGAGGCGCUCCCGGAACAAACCGGGGCGCGCAGAGCUUUCUUCGCCGCUGUCUGGGGGCCGCAGGACUGUCCCAGGGCCCGUGAUUGACGGACCAGUCCCCGGCAUUGAGCCUUGUGUCUUUCCAGUUACAGGCGAUGCUGCCGGAAACGUGUGUUUUCCUAUCUAGGAGUCAGUCUGUCGCAGACCGAUUCCUGGAUCGCCGAGGUCGCCCACUCUCCCCAGAAGCCUGCUCCCUCCCGACCCGACCGGUGGGAGGCCGCGUCCCCGACGCUUGCCAGGAGCCCCGCCUGCAGCCGAGGCGUCCUCCCCGCGCCGCGGGCUCCUGUGGCAACGGCCGCCUCCCGGCUGGCCUCUUUUCUGCCUUCUGCCUUCCCGUUGGCGACUGGGGAGGCCCGUGGUCAACGAGGCCCCAGCGAUCACCUGGGGGACGUCCUGUAGGGAGAGCCUGACUCACAAGGACCAGUGUUGAGCCGUCGCACCCCCGCUUGGGACCAGGAUGGGCUGCACUUUCCCCACCCGCGGCCCUGGGACCCGCCCCACCCGAAGCCCGGGGAGAUCCAACCGCAGGCUGCCUCCGGCCAGCGGACUCAUUCACACUCCGCAAACAGGCUGGGGCCAGACGCCGCCCUGCCCUAGGUGCCCAGCAAACACGCGGGCCAGCCAGACCCCUGGACCUUCACAGGGAGGAGGAGAUGGAGAUGGGUUCACCCCCCACAAAGGAGGGAGGGGAGGGGAUGGCCGCCAUGCCCAGGUGCCGGGACAGGAGCCGAGGGCCGCGUGCACCCCUUGGGCCCUUGGAGGGGCCGGCAUGUGCCUCUCUGUCCCUGUGCCACUUCCACUGGCCGUACAGGGCCACCACCGCGGAAACCGCAUGUGUAACCCCUGGAAACAGGGUCCUCCUUGAUGAGUCAUGUUCUAAGUUGGGAGGAAAAUUCACUGGAUAGUGGAGGCAGUAGAAAGAAAUAAAAAAAGUCUUUGUUCCACAGAUGCUUGGAGGGCUUGGGUCCUCGGUGUUUAUAGUGGGUGCCGCCUUCCAACACCACACCCUGGGAGGGAGUCGCCGGACGGCGUUCCGGAAACUCCACAGU
rnacentral:lncRNA from 1 species